GUCUUCGUGGUGUAGCGUUCAGCACGCUGGGUGCGUAUUCCGGAGAUCCGUGGUUCGAUUCCUGGCGAAAACG
rnacentral:tRNA from 1 species